rnacentral:rRNA from 1 species
GAUGAACGCUAGCGGGAGGCCUAACACAUGCAAGCCGAGCGGUAGAGAUUCUUCGGAAUCUUGAGAGCGGCGUACGGUGCGGAACACGUGUGCAACCUACCUUUAUCUGGAGGAUAGCCUUUCGAAAGGAAGAUUAAUACUCCAUAAUAUAUUGAUUGGCAUCAAUUGAUAUUGAAAGCUCCGGCGGAUAGAGAUGGGCACGCGCAAGAUUAGUUAGUUGGUGAGGUAACGGCUCACCAAGACGAUGAUCUUUAGGGGGCCUGAGAGGGUGAUCCCCACACUGGUACUGAGACACGGACCAGACUCCUACGGGAGCAGCAGUGAGGAAUAUUGGUCAAUGGGUGCAAGCCUGAACCAGCCAUCCCGCGUGAAGGACGACUGCCCCUAUGGGUUGUAAACUUCUUUUGUAUAGGGAUAAACCUACCCUCGUGAGGGUAGCUGAAGGUACUAUACGAAUAAGCACCGGCUAACUCCGUGCCAGCAGCCGCGGUAAU